rnacentral:rRNA from 1 species
CCUACGGGAGGCAGCAGUGGGGAAUAUUGCACAAUGGGGGAAACCCUGAUGCAGCGACGCCGCGUGAGUGAAGAAGUAUUUCGGUACGUAAAGCUCUAUCAGCAGGGAAGAAAAUGACGGUACCUGACUAAGAAGCCCCGGCUAACUACGUGCCAGCAGCCGCGGUAAUACGUAGGGGGCAAGCGUUAUCCGGAUUUACUGGGUGUAAAGGGAGCGUAGACGGCAGCGCAAGUCUGGAGUGAAAUCCCAUGGCUUAACCAUGGAACUGCUUUGGAAACUGUGCAGCUAGAGUGCAGGAGAGGUAAGCGGAAUGCGUAGUGUAGCGGUGAAAUGCGUAGAUAUUAGGAGGAACACCAGUGGCGAAGGCGGCUUACUGGACUGUAACUGACGUUGAGGCUCGAAAGCGUGGGGAGCAAACAGGAUUAGAUACCCUUGUAGUC